UGGGCGAAAGCCUGACGCAGCAACGCCGCGUGGAUGAUGAAGGCCUUCGGGAUGUAAAGUCCUUUUGCAGAGGAAGAAUAUCCCGUUUUGCGGGUGCGGCGGUACUUUGCGAAUAAGCCACGGGUAACUCUGGGCCAGCAGGCGGGGGGAUACAGGGGGGGGAAGCGGUGGCCGGAUUUACUGGGUGGAAAGGGUGGGCAAGCGGGAUAACAAGGCGGGGGGUAAAACCAUGGGCUUAACACAAGCAUGGGUUUCGAUUCUGGUAUUUUAAAGUGGCGAAGAAGAAAAUGGAAUUUUCGGGGUAACGGUGGAAUGGGUAGAUAUUGGAAAGAACACCAAUGGAGAAAGGAGGCUUUUGGUUGACAACUGAAGGUUAAGCACCAAAGCGGGGGGAGCGAACAGGAAUAAAUACCCUGGUAGUCCACGCCCGGAACGAAGAAUACUAAAUGGUGGGCAUUCGUGAUCAAUGGCGCAACUUACGCAUUAAGUAUUCCAACUGGGAAGGACCCU
rnacentral:rRNA from 1 species